rnacentral:rRNA from 1 species
GAUGAACGCUGGCGGCGUGCCUAAUACAUGCAAGUCGAGCGAACAGACGAGGAGCUUGCUCCUCUGACGUUAGCGGCGGACGGGUGAGUAACACGUGGAUAACCUACCUAUAAGACUGGGAUAACUUCGGGAAACCGGAGCUAAUACCGGAUAAUAUAUUGAACCGCAUGGUUCAAUAGUGAAAGACGGUUUUGCUGUCACUUAUAGAUGGAUCCGCGCCGCAUUAGCUAGUUGGUAAGGUAACGGCUUACCAAGGCAACGAUGCGUAGCCGACCUGAGAGGGUGAUCGGCCACACUGGAACUGAGACACGGUCCAGACUCCUACGGGAGGCAGCAGUAGGGAAUCUUCCGCAAUGGGCGAAAGCCUGACGGAGCAACGCCGCGUGAGUGAUGAAGGUCUUCGGAUCGUAAAACUCGGUUAUUAGGGAAGAACAAAUGUGUAAGUAACCAUGCACGUCUUGACGGUACCUAAUCAGAAAGCCAUGGCUAACUACGUG